GAUGAACGCUGGCGGCGUGCCUAAUACAUGCAAGUCGAGCGAACGGACGAGAAGCUUGCUUCUCUGAUGUUAGCGGCGGACGGGUGAGUAACACGUGGAUAACCUACCUAUAAGACUGGGAUAACUUCGGGAAACCGGAGCUAAUGCCGGAUGAUAUUUUGAACCGCAUGGUUCAAAAGUGAAAGACGGUCUUGCUGUCACUUAUAGAUGGAUCCGCGCUGCAUUAGCUAGUUGGUAAUGUAACGGCUUACCAAGGCAACGAUGCAUAGCCGACCUGAGAGGGUGAUCGGCCACACUGGAACUGAGACACGGUCCAGACUCCUACGGGAGGCAGCAGUAGGGAAUCUUCCGCAAUGGGCGAAAGCCUGACGGAGCAACGCCGCGUGAGUGAUGAAGGUCUUCGGAUCGUAAAACUCUGUUAUUAGGGAAGAACAUAUGUGUAAGUAACUGUGCACAUCUUGACGGUACCUAAUCAGAAAGCCACGGCUAACUACGUG
rnacentral:rRNA from 1 species